rnacentral:rRNA from 1 species
CGCGUGGGUAACCUGCCCUAUACACAUGGAUAACAUACUGAAAAGUUUACUAAUACAUGAUAAUAUAUAUUUGCGGCAUCGUAGAUAUAUCAAAGUGUUAGCGGUAUAGGAUGGACCCGCGUCUGAUUAGCUAGUUGGUGAGAUAACUGCCCACCAAGGCGACGAUCAGUAGCCGACCUGAGAGGGUGAUCGGCCACAUUGGAACUGAGACACGGUCCAAACUCCUACGGGAGGCAGCAGAC